rnacentral:rRNA from 1 species
GGGGAAUAUUGGACAAUGGGCGCAAGCCUGAUCCAGCAACGCCGCGUGGAGGACGAAGGUCUUCGGAUCGUAAACUCCUGUCAGGCGGGACGAAGGCUUCCGUGCGAACAGUGCGGAAGCUUGACGGUACUGCCAGAGGAAGCCCCGGCUAACUCCGUGCCAGCAGCCGCGGUAAUACGAAGGGGGCUAGCGUUGCUCGGAAUUACUGGGCGUAAAGGGCGCGUAGGCGGACAGUUAAGUUGGGGGUGAAAGCCCGGGGCUCAACCUCGGAAUUGCCUUCAAUACUGGCUGUCUUGAGUAUGAGAGAGGUGUGUGGAACUCCGAGUGUAGAGGUGAAAUUCGUAGAUAUUCGGAAGAACACCAGUGGCGAAGGCGACACACUGGCUCAUUACUGACGCUGAGGCGCGAAAGCGUGGGGAGCAAA